AAUGCUUCUCUUGGGAAGAAAGUAAAAGACCCCGCAGCUACAAAGGCAGCUAAGGGUAGGGAGGCAUCGUAUUAUAGGGUGACAUGCAAGGAUAAUGGAAGAGGAAUGCCACAUGAUGAUAUCCCGAAUAUGUUUGGACGAGUUUUGUCUGGAACAAAGUAUGGAUUGAAACAGACACGUGGGAAAUUUGGUCUUGGUGCAAAGAUGGCAUUGAUUUGGU
rnacentral:misc_RNA from 1 species